UUUUUUUUUUUUUUUUUACAAUUGUAGAUGACUGAAGAAUGCUGCUCUGGACCUUGAUAUUUCCUUAUAGGAAAUUGCCUAUCGAGUUACAUGUACGAAGCUGCAUAAAUGUUCAUCUAGAUAUUAACUUGAUGCAUAACAAUUUCAAUGUAUGAAUCAGUGUUUGCUAUUUAUUUAAGAGAAUGUUACAGUCAGUAUCCAUUUCUAUCCACAACAAAGACAUAGUAACGUAAUGAAGUGUCAAUUCACUGUUAAAGCAUUGUUAAGACGUCAUUCACUUGUUCUUUACAUCAAUAAUCUGAUGCGUAUAUAUAUAUAUAUAGUUGGGGGAAAGUUUCGAUAUUGUAAACCCACUGUUGGCUGAUAAGACCAUCUUUUCAUCACUUUAUCGUACAUGUCCGUUUCGCUUUCUGAUUAGAAAGGCAGGUAUCUAUAUUAAUUGUAAAAAAGGCAAGGUUGUAAAAAAGUUGAGCCCCUUUAACAAAACGUGGCCUCGUACAAGACUUGUAACAUUAUAUAUUGCUAAUCAUUUGUUGUUUUAUUCAUUCGUUCCGCAAUUUUUGAAUUUUUGAUGUCAGUUUUUCCAGAUCUAAAUCUUAUCAAAAUAUGUUCUUCAGGAUCAAAGUAUCUUCCUUAAGAACAACUCACUGAUCGGACUUGCUUAUCACAAAACACCCUGAAUCAGUUCCUUACAUGUAACGACAACAGACUUAAAAGCGAAUGUUUCCCUAAUGAAUUAAUGAAAAGGAGUCAAUGAACAUGUUAUUGUAUCAUUUUCCCUGCUGAUAAUUGACCAUUCACUACUUAGGCGCACGUGGCAUUUACAAACUUGACCCGAAAAGCGCUAUAUCCUGUGUCAAUAUACACGAACAAUAUCCAUCCUCUCCCUCUCUCCCCUCUCUCAACAAAAGUCCGAACAUUCGGAGGACAACAAAUAAGCUGACUUUGGUGCCUAACAAUUGUUUUAAAAUAUGUAUAUCUUAACUUUGAGUGUCUGGGCAUUUUUCCGUCGGACAUUGAAUGCACUCUAGACUGUGACUACUGCAAUUCAACGUGUGUGCCGUUCAACAACCAGUAUCCCCUCAUCCGAAAGGCACAUGCCGUCUAUCUUUCUCAGAUCAUACAUAUUGGUGCGUGCUAGUUCAGAUCACUCAGGAGUAGGUUGCCGUUCGGAAUGCCUCUAUUUUUUUAACAUCGAGUUCGAUAAUCGAAUUAUUCCACCUCGGUUUUCCCGAAAUCAUGUCACUCAUCGCAGUAAAUUGAGUAAUCAGCAAUUUUGUGUAAACUGCUAUUAUUUCCAUCCGAUAUUUCACGAAGCUAAGUGUCUUUUAGUAUUUUUAUUAGACAUAAUAAUAGCAGUAGUAAUAUUUGAAUAUUUACGUUCGUGUUGUCCCUGUAGAAGAAUGUCUGGGAAUGAGCCAAAAUAUGUUGUUGUCAACACGGUGGAAGAAGUCGAAAAGUUAGUGACUGAGUUUGAAAUAGACACCAUCACUAAAUUUACAAUAUUUAGGCGAAAUAAAGGAUUUGGUCAUGAUCUGGAUUGCCUUCAAGGUCACAGAGUGCUUUGGGAGGACAAGGGACAAGAGGAGGGUGUUAAAGUAUUCUGUAAUGGCAUGCCAUUCAUUAUUUUUGGUUUUGAUGUCAGAGAAUGUCACUUUGGGCCGGACAGAAAUACUAUGAAAAAGAAGAAGUACCAAAUGGAGAAGACCAUAGAAGCAGACCAAGACCAUUCUUAUACACAAAAGAGCAGGACUUUGGUACAAAAUACAAAAAAACUUGAUUGCCCUGCCAGAAUUUAUAUGAAAAAGAUAUUCAAAUUUCCUGAUUAUAAGAUCCUUGGCCAUGAUUCUGUCUGGAAGAGAAAAAAACAAGCGCAGAAAUUGAAGAAGGCUCUUUCCGCAAAUGAAGAUAUGCGCAGGGAAGAGGAAAUUCACAUUUUCCCCCCAGGAAUUGAGAGCCACAAAAAUCAUUUGACAGGACAGGUAUUUGUCUACCAAUCGACAAUGUGAUCAAGGAAAAAAUAUCACAUCUGAUGGAUGAAGGAGUGUCAAAAGUUUCAGAAAUGAGACGUCACAUCAAGUCAUUUAACAGGAAGGAACUUAAAAUGACUGAUGAAGAAAAUCGACGCUUCUUUCCAUUUGAUAAAGAUAUUAGAAAUCUAAUGAAUUCUUUCAAGGAACAGACACGAUUUUCCAAAGAUGACAAGGAGAAUUUGAAAGAAAUCAUUGAUAACUUUAUAGCAGCAAAUGAAGAAGACAGCUUUUAUCUUGAUAUAUCAGGAACUGAAGAAUUUCUCUUUGUUGGGCAAACAGAGUAUCAGAAAAGGCUGCUGAAAAUAUAUGGCCAAGAAAUAUGUCUGUUAGAUGCCACAUACAAAACUACGAAGUACAACUUGCCAGCAUUCUUUGUAUGUGUGAACACAAAUGUCGGCUACUCUACAGUUGGGUGUUUCAUUACUGCGAAUGAAACAAAAGCUUCCAUCAAAAGAGGUCUGCAGUAUUUAAAGCAGUGGAAUGAAAAUUGCCAUCCAGAAUUCUUCAUGACUGAUUUUGAUACAUCAGAAAUAGGUGCAGUAGAGGAAACUUUCCAAGAUUCAUCACCUUCGAAAGACAGUACAGGAGUUAAUCCACUGCAGUGUAAAUGAUACUCUAGACAUAUACAUACCGGAGAUUUUAAUCAAGAUAAUUAAACAACAAGAAGAUGUUAAUAGACUUGUUGCAGAAUUAAUGUUCCUUGAAAUAUAAGCCACAACCAUUCCCAUUCCUUCUGCCUGGUGUGCAAGAUAAAUGAUGUGGUGAAAAGAACUGAUGUGCUGAAAGAGGGUCUGAUAUUUCAAAAAAGAGCCUGAUGUGUGAAAACUUCUACUGUGAAUGAUAACUGCUAUACACUGUAUAUAUAGUAAUGUGAAACAAGUCAAAUUUCUACAUGUAUAACCUAUAUUUUAGACAAUGUACAUGAACCUACUUAUCUACCUCUGUGUGAUGUGAAAAUAAGUCCAAUCUUUAAAACCUACCUCUGGGUGAUGUGAAAUAAGUCAAAUAUUUAAAACCUACCUCUGAGUAAUGUGAAAUAAGUCAAAUAUUUAAAACCUACCUCUGAGUGAUGUGAAAUAAGUCAAAUUCUUAAAACCUCCUUCUGAGUGAUAUGAAAUAAGUCAAAUUUCUAUAUUGUGUGUAUUUGACAUCAAACUUAUCAACCUACCUCUGAGUGAUGUUAAAUAAGUAAUAUCUUUAUAUCCUAUGUCUUAGACACUGUACAUGAACUUACCUACUUCUGAGUGAUGUGAAAUAAGUCAAAUUCUUAAAACCUACUUCUGAGUGAAGUGAAAUAAGUCAAAUUCUUAAAACCUACUUCUGAGUGAUCUGAAAUAAGUCAGAUAUUUAAAACCUACCUCUGAGUGAUGUGAAAUAAGUCAAAUAUUUAAAUCCUCCUUCUGAGUGAUGUGAAAUAAGUCAAGAUUUCUAUAUUGUAUGUAUUUGACAUCAAACUUAUCAACCUACCUCUGAGUGAUGUUAAAUAAGUAAUAUCUUUAUACCCUAUGUCUUAGACACUGUACAUGAACUUACCUACUUCUGAGUGAUGUGAAAUAAGUCAAAUUCUUAAAACCUACUUCUGAGUGAUCUGAAAUAAGUCAGAUAUUUAAAACCUACCUCUGAGUGAUGUGAAAUAAGUCAAAUUCUUAAAACCUCCUUCUGAGUGAUGUGAAAUAAGACAGAUUUCUAUAUUGUGUGUAUUUGACAUCAAACUUAUCAACCUACCUCUGAGUGAUGUUAAAUAAGUAAUAUCUUUAUAUCCUAUGUCUUAGACACUGUACAUGAACUUACCUACCUCUGAGUGAUGUGAAAUAAGUCAAAUUCUUAAAACCUACUUCUGAGUGAAGUGAAAUAAGUCAAAUUCUUAAAACCUCCUUCUGAGUGAUCUGAAAUAAGUCAGAUAUUUAAAACCUACCUCUGAGUGAUGUGAAAUAAGUCAAAUAUUUAAAUCCUCCUUCUGAGUGAUGUGAAAUAAGACAGAUUUCUAUAUUGUGUGUAUUUGACAUCAAACUUAUCAACCUACCUCUGAGUGAUGUUAAAUAAGUAAUAUCUUUAUAUCCUAUGUCUUAGACACUGUACAUGAACUUACCUACUUCUGAGUGAUGUGAAAUAAGUCAAAUUCUUAAAACCUACUUCUGAGUGAUCUGAAAUAAGUCAGAUAUUUAAAACCUACCUCUGAGUGAUGUGAAAUAAGUCAAAUUCUUAAAACCUCCUUCUGAGUGAUGUGAAAUAAGACAGAUUUCUAUAUUGUGUGUAUUUGACAUCAAACUUAUCAACAUACCUCUGAGUGAUGUUAAAUAAGUAAUAUCUUUAUAUCCUAUGUCUUAGACACUGUACAUGAACUUACCUACCUCUGAGUGAUGUGAAAUAAGUCAAAUUCUUAAAACCUACUUCUGAGUGAUCUGAAAUAAGUCAGAUAUUUAAAACCUAUCUCUGAGUGAUCUGAAAUAAGUCAAAUAUUUAAAACCUCCCCCUGAGUGAUGUGAAAUAAGUCAGAUUUCUAUACACCGUACAUGAACCUACCUACUUCUGAGUGAUGUGAAAUAGGCCAAAUAUUUAAAACCUACCUCUGAGUGAUGUGAAAUAAGUCAAAUUCUUAAAACCUACUUCUGAGUGAUCUGAAAUAAGUCAGGAUUUUAUAUCCUAUGCCUUAGACAAAUACAUGAACUUUCCUACUUCUGAGUGAUGCGAAAUAAGUCGAAUUUCUAUUUUGUGUAUCGCUGACAUCGGACUUUAUCCUACGUCUAAGUGAUGUGAAAUAAGAAAACUUUCUAUACCUACUUCUGAGUAAUGUGAAUUAAGUCAAAUAUUUAAAUCCUACCCCUCAGUGAUGUGAAAUAAGUCAAAUUUCUGUACCUACCUCUGAGUGAUGUGAAAUGAGUAAAAUUUCUAUAUACUAUAUCUUAGACACCGUAAAUAUUUAUACGAUUAAUUUACUACUAUUAUUGAUUUUAAUUAUAUUUAAAUUAUUUUCAAAAUUCUUAUACUAUUUAUCCAGCUUUCUAUUUGAAACAGCUUACACUUUUCGCGAUAUUAGCAACAAACAUUGCUAAUUGGCUUGAAUUUUAGUGAUGAUUUUUAUAUACAUUUACUCUUGCUUGUAGUAUUUUAUUUCUCCCUCUUAAUCCUAUGCUUUUCGUAUUUGUAUAUUCUUGCAUGAAAUGUUUUUUUUUUUUUUUUUUGUAUUCUUUUGUUAAUCUGUGAUAUGUCUGUGUAUAUGUGUACAUGCAUACUAUGUGUCUUUGACUUUGAUAUACAUGUUUGUGAUAGUCGGUUAAAAAGCUCUACAGAGCUUGUAUUUGAUUUGUUGAAUGUAUAUAGUGCCGACUUUAAAUAAAAUUUACUUUACUUUACUUUUACAUUAUACCUACCUAGCUACCUCUGAGUGAUGUCAAAUAAGACAAAAUUCUAUAUUUUAGACACCCUAUAUAAACUUAAGUUUUUAUAUUUUGGACACGGUAUAUAAACUUAAGUUUCUAUUUUUAGACACUAGACCAAUCUCCCUCUGUGUGAUGUUAAAUAAGUCGAAUUCGUAUAUGUAUUAUACUCCUCAG